GAGAGCUACGAAGCGUCCCGUGGCUGGCUUAAAACUUCAUUGCAUGACAUCAGCUGAGCAGCACUGUCUUGGGUGGCGAUCGAGGGGAGGUCGAGUUAGAGACAGUGAGAUGGUGAAAAGAAAAGACACCGCGUCCAGGAAGUAUUUGUUAUUGUUAGAUUCAGACGAGCAUGGACGUUGCAUUGCUAAAAUGGCUGCAAAACGGAUCUUUGGAUACUGUACAUGUUGGUCAGUCCCUUAGCCUAUCAGGAUGCAGAACACAAUUCACUGUUUAAAAAAAAAACAUUUAAAAAACUGCACUAAAAAAAAUCCAUGAAACAGCAAAGCCACAGAAGGUGAACCGCGUUAUAGCGAGGGAUUAUUGUAGUUCUAUUACACAAUUUUCAAGUCUGUGAGAAAAAAGUUAGUACAUUCAUUGCAACACAGAGUCGAUUGUUAACAAGGCUGCCAAAUUUGAAUCUAUCUGAAAAUGGUAUACAAUAAGGCUCUAAAGUCAUGAAAAAUCAAGCCUUGCUUCCUGCUGCAGAAGCAAGUCAGCGCGUCCAAUGAGGUGGGUAUUCAUCGGUCAACGAAAUUUUGUUUGUUCGA